UACAGAGGGGGCGAGCGUUGUUCGGAAUUACUGGGCGUAAAGGGCGCGUAGGCGGCCCGCUAAGUCGAACGUGAAAUCCCCAGGCUCAACCUGGGAACUGCGUCCGAUACUGGCAGGCUUGAAUCCGGGAGAGGGAUGUGGAAUUCCAGGUGUAGCGGUGAAAUGCGUAGAUAUCGUGAGGAACACCAGAGGCGAAGGCGGCUACCUGGACAAUUGCUGACGCUCAGGCACGAAAGCGUGGGGAGCAAACAGG
rnacentral:rRNA from 1 species